UACGUAGGGGGCAAGCGUUGUUCGGAAUUACUGGGCGUAAAGGGCUCGUAGGCGGCCAACUAAGUCAUACGUGAAAUCCCUCGGCUUAACCGGGGAACUGCGUCUGAUACUGGAUGGCUAGAGAUUGGGAGAGGGAUGCGGAAUUCCAGGUGUAGCGGUGAAAUGCGUAGAUAUCUGGAGGAAUACCGGUGGCGAAGGCGGCAUCCUGGACCGACAUUGACGCUGAACGGCGAAAGCUAGGGGAGCAAACGGG
rnacentral:rRNA from 1 species